UAGCGAUCUGCCGGUGGAUUUUUAGCCCUGGUAGGUAGCUUCCCGGAAACGAAAGUCUUCCGGUUCCGGGGGAAGUAUGGUUGCAAAGCUGAAACUUAAAGGAAUUGACGGAAGGGCACCACCAGGAGUGGAGCCUGCGGCUUAAUUUGACUCAACACGGGGAAACUCACCCGGCCCGGACACCGUAAGGAUUGACAGAUUGAUAGCUCUUUCAUGAUUCGGUGGUUGGUGGUGCAUGGCCGUUCUUAGUUCGUGGAUCGAUUUGUCUGGUUUAUUCCGAUAACGAGCGAGACUCUAGCCUACUAAAUAGUAGCGAGAUUACCAUUGUCUCAGUUGCUUCUUAGAGGGAUUUUCGGUGUUUAGCCGCACGAGAUUGAGCAAUAACAGGUCUGUGAUGCCCUUAGAUGUCCGGGGCUGCACGCGCGCUACACUGGCGAAAUCAGCGUGCUUUAUCCAUUCUCGAAAGGGAUUGGUAAACCCAUGAAAAUUUGCCGUGCUUGGGAUCGGAAAUUGCAAUUAUUUUCCGUGAACGAGGAAUUCCAAGUAAGUGCGAGUCAUCAACUCGCUCUGAUUACGUC
rnacentral:rRNA from 1 species